rnacentral:rRNA from 1 species
UGACAGGUGGUGCAUGGUUGUCGUCAGCUCGUGUCGUGAGAUGUUGGGUUAAGUCCCGCAACGAGCGCAACCCUUGUCAUUAGUUGCUACGAAAGGGCACUCUAAUGAGACUGCCGGUGACAAACCGGAGGAAGGUGGGGAUGACGUCAAGUCCUCAUGGCCCUUAUGGGUAGGGCUUCACACGUCAUACAAUGGUCGGGACAGAGGGUCGCCAACCCGCGAGGGGGAGCCAAUCCCAGAAACCCGAUCGUAGUCCGGAUUGCAGGCUACAACUCGCCUGCAUGAAGUCGGAAUCGCUAGUAAUCGCGGAUCAGCAUGUCGCGGUGAAUACGUUCCCGGGUCUU